ensembl:snoRNA
AACCAAAGUGUUGAGCUCAGUUCAGGGUGUUGCCCCUGUUCUGGUAAUUAAGCUUUGGGACAAUGAGUGACUGGGAAGCACACCAUGGUGACUGAAACCCCAAGGUGUUUUAUGCCACCUGUGUUUCUUGGCCCACAAAC